rnacentral:rRNA from 1 species
GAUGAACGCUGGCGGCGUGCUUAACACAUGCAAGUCGAACGGGAAACAUUUCAUUGAGGCUUCGGCGGAUUUGAUCUGUUUCUAGUGGCGGACGGGUGAGUAACGCGUGGGUAACCUGCCUUAUACUGGGGGAUAACAGCCAGAAAUGACUGCUAAUACCGCAUAAGCGCACAGAACCGCAUGGUUCCGUGUGAAAAACUCCGGUGGUAUAAGAUGGACCCGCGUUGGAUUAGCUAGUUGGCAGGGCAGCGGCCUACCAAGGCGACGAUCCAUAGCCGGCCUGAGAGGGUGAACGGCCACAUUGGGACUGAGACACGGCCCAGACUCCUACGGGAGGCAGCAGUGGGGAAUAUUGCACAAUGGGGGAAACCCUGAUGCAGCGACGCCGCGUGAAGGAAGAAGUAUCUCGGUAUGUAAACUUCUAUCAGCAGGGAAGAUA